rnacentral:rRNA from 1 species
AGUGAACGCUGGCGGCGUGCUUAACACAUGCAAGUCGAACGAGAACGGAUUAUAGCUUGCUAUAAUUGUCAGCUAAGUGGCGCACGGGUGAGUAAUGUAUAGGUAAUAUGCCUCUUACUAAGGGAUAACAAAUGGAAACGUUUGUUAAUACCUUAUACUCCUUAUUAACAGAAGUUAAUAAGGGAAAGAUUUAUUGGUAAGAGAUUAGCCUGUAUUGUAUCAGUUAGUUGGUGAGGUAAAGGCUUACCAAGACUAUGACACAUAACUGGUUUGAGAGGAUGAUCAGUCACACUGGAACUGAGACACGGUCCAGACUCCUACGGGAGGCAGCAGUGGGGAAUAUUGCACAAUGGACGAAAGUCUGAUGCAGCAACGCCGCGUGGAGGAUGACACAUUUCGGUGCGUAAACUCCUUUUAUAUGAGAAGAUAAUGACGGUAUUAUAUGAAUAAGCACCGGCUAACUCCGUGCCAGCAGCCGCCGUAA